GGGGGAUGGGGUUUAAGUGAGCGGGGAGAGCCAAUGCCCUGCCAGGCUGGCGGCAGCCUUUAUUUACAGGGUCGGGAGCCAGCUGAUUUGCUUUGGUUAAAGCAAGGGGGCGGUUAGCGUGAGUUACGGCCUCGCCCAGACACUAAUAAGGCUGCUUGUCUGAGGCAUUCCAUAAUUCAAGCAAAGGCUGUGCCGCUUAAUGGCCCUUCUUCGUCAGAUCUUCCAGGACUCGGUGCCUCCUUAAUGAGUUAUUUGCUUGGGAUGAAAUUAAGCCGAGACAGCGUGAGCUUGGAAAAUACUGCCGUGCAGGCUCUCCCCGGUUCUUCAUCCUUCUCAGCGGCUGCUUUCUAUAAAUAGAGCCGUGAGUUCUGCUUCGUGACCCGCCUGCUGGGAGCCCCAGUGGGCGCCUGGUGUCUCCCAUCCCUCUUGUCUCCCACGCCCAUGAUCUCACUGAAAACUGAAUUCCAGGCUUUUUAAGAAAGCAUAGAGUUCCCUGGGUCUACUAAGAACCAUCUGGCAGUCCAGCCAAGAAAAGGG
rnacentral:lncRNA from 1 species